rnacentral:rRNA from 1 species
GACGAACGCUGGCGGCGUGCUUAACACAUGCAAGUCGAGCGGUAAGGCCCUUUCGGGGGUACACGAGCGGCGAACGGGUGAGUAACACGUGGGUGACCUGCCCUCAGCUCUGGGAUAAGCCUGGGAAACUGGGUCUAAUACCGGAUAUGACUCCAUGACGCAUGUUGUGGGGUGGAAAGCCUUGUGCGGCUGAGGAUGGGCCCGCGGCCUAUCAGCUUGUUGGUGGGGUGANGGCCUACCAAGGCGACGACGGGUAGCCGGCCUGAGAGGGCGACCGGCCACACCGGGACUGAGACACGGCCCAGACUCCUACGGGAGGCAGCAGUGGGGAAUCUUGCGCAAUGGGCGAAAGCCUGACGCAGCGACGCCGCGUGAGGGAUGACGGCCUGG